UACGUAGGGUGCAAGCGUUGUCCGGAAUUAUUGGGCGUAAAGGGCGCGUAGGCGGUUUCUUAAGUUUGGAGUGACAGUGGGUGGCUUAACUACCCAAGGCCUCUGAAAACUGGGGAACGUUGAGGACCAGAGAGGGACAUAGAAUUCCGGGUGGAGUGGUGAAAUGCGUAGAUAUCCGGAGGAAUACCAAAGGCGAAGGCAGUGUCCAUGGAGGGUGACUGACGCUGGAGGCGCGAAAGCUAGGGGAGCGAACAGGA
rnacentral:rRNA from 1 species